UUGUCAAUUAGAUCAAGACUCCUAAUCUUGCUUUAAAGAUUACUUUUCUUGUUAAAGUAGUCCCAGUUAUUAACAUUUAAUAGUCUCAGUUCUUUGGUAAGUUUUGGGGGAACAGAUUUGACACAGACGCCUUCUUUGGGUCUAUCCAUCUGCAAGAAGACCACACGCUCCUUGGUGGAGCCUCUUCAUGAAGGACUGCUGCUACCCACUGUAAUCUCUCCUCCCAGAACCAGCACUGCUUUCUCUGGAAAUACUAGUAUUUCAAGAAGGUAUGAGUGCAACAAGGUAUCUGAGCACGCUCUCCAGUAGUUCUCGCUCUCCUUUACCCACCCCACUUCUGCAAGAGGCUAAUCUGACUCAUUCCGCUGGGCUCUUUUUUAUGCACACAUAUGAGCACACACACCUAGAAAUGAGAAAACCGGUCAAGUCAAAUAGACAUUAAGAAGAAGCCACCACAGAACAGGCCAUGCGAUGGAUUGUAUAAUUCAGGCAAGCUAUUUUAGCACAGAAGAUAAACCUGAGUGAAACUUUACAACCAAAAUGAAUAAAGUCUGAAAUUUAUGAGUCCACACUGAUCUACUUUUAUCAAAAGUACCAAACUUGA